UAAGGAAUAUUGGUCAAUGGAGGCAACUCUGAACCAGCCAUGCCGCGUGCAGGAUGACUGCCCUAUGGGUUGUAAACUGCUUUUGUCAGGGAAUAAACCUUUCCACGUGUGGAGAGCUGAAUGUACCUGAUGAAUAAGGAUCGGCUAACUCCGUGCCAGCAGCCGCGGUAAUACGGAGGAUCCAAGCGUUAUCCGGAUUUAUUGGGUUUAAAGGGUGCGUAGGCGGUCCUAUAAGUCAGUGGUGAAAGACGGCAGCUUAACUGUCGCAGUGCCUUUGAUACUGUAGGACUUGAAUCUAUUUGAAGUGGGCGGAAUAAGACAAGUAGCGGUGAAAUGCAUAGAUAUGUCUUAGAACUCCGAUUGCGAAGGCAGCUCACUAAGUUAGUAUUGACGUUGAUGCACGAAAGCGUGGGGAUCGAAACAGGAUUAGAUACCCUGGUAGUCCACGCCCUAAACGAUGAUAACUCGAUGUUUGCG
rnacentral:rRNA from 1 species